GGCUCAGAACGAACGCUGGCGGCAGGCUAACACAUGCAAGUCGAACGCUCCGCAAGGAGAGUGGCAGACGGGUGAGUAACACGUGGGAACGUACCCUUUACUACGGAACAACUCCGGGAAACUGGAGCUAAUACCGUAUGUGCCCUUCGGGGGAAAGAUUUAUCGGUAAAGGAUCGGCCCGCGUUGGAUUAGCUAGUUGGUGGGGUAAAGGCCUACCAAGGCGACGAUCCAUAGCUGGUCUGAGAGGAUGAUCAGCCACAUUGGGACUGAGACACGGCCCAAACUCCUACGGGAGGCAGCAGUGGGGAAUAUUGGACAAUGGGCGCAAGCCUGAUCCCAGCCAUGCCGCGUGUGUGAUGAAGGCCUUAGGGUUGUAAAGCACUUUCACCGGAGAAGAUAAUGACGGUAUCCGGAGAAGAAGCCCCGGCUAACUUCGUGCCAGCAGCGGC
rnacentral:rRNA from 1 species